AGUGACAUAACUGGAUCAAAUGGUGGUUCCUUUCCAAAUUUUCUAAGAAAUCUCUACACUGCUUUCCAAAGUGGCUGCACCAAUUUGCAAUCCCACCAGCAAU
rnacentral:pre_miRNA from 1 species